AAGCGCCGGAUGAACGGAUUUCAUUGAUAAUGAAAAAUAUAGUAUAACUCUUUAUUAAUUA
rnacentral:tRNA from 1 species